rnacentral:rRNA from 1 species
UACGUAGGGUGCAAGCGUUAAUCGGAAUCACUAGGCGUAAAGCGCGGGUAGGCGGUGCGAUAAGUCUCUUGUGAAAGCUCCCGGCUUAACUGGGAGAGGUCAAGGGAAACUGUCGUGCUAGAGUGUGGCAGAGGAAGCUAGAAUUCCCGGUGUAGCGGUGAAAUGCGUAGAUAUCGGGAGGAAUACCUAUGGGCGAAAAGCAGGCUUCUGGGCCGUCACUGACGCUGGAUCUGCGAAAGCUAGGGGAGCAAACAGG